rnacentral:rRNA from 1 species
CGCGGCCUAUCAGCUUGUUGGUGAGGUAACGGCUCACCAAGGCAUCGACGGGUAGCUGGUCUGAGAGGACGAUCAGCCACACUGGGACUGAGACACGGCCCAGACUCCUAUGGGAGGCAGCAGUAGGGAAUCUUGCGCAAUGGGCGAAAGCCUGACGCAGCAACGCCGCGUGGGGGAAGAAGGCCUUCGGGUCGUAAACCCCUUUCAGCAGGGACGAAAUUGACGGUACCUGCAGAAGAAGGACCGGCCAACUACGUGCCAGCAGCCGCGGUAAUACGUAGGGUCCGAGCGUUGUCCGGGUUUAUUGGGCGUAAAGAGCUCGUAGGCGGUUUGGUAAGUCGGGUGUGAAAACUCAGGGCUCAACCCUGAGACGCCACUCGAUACUGCCAUGACUUGAGUCCGGUAGAGGAGUGUGGAAUUCCUGGUGUAGCGGUGAAAUGCGCAGAUAUCAGGAGGAACACCGAUAGCGAAGGCAGCACUCUGGGCCGGUACUGACGCUGAGGAGCGAAAGCAUGGGGAGCAAACAGGAUUAGAUACCCUGGUAGUCCAUGCCGUAAACGUUGGGCACUAGGUGUGGGUUCCAUCCAACGGGAUCCGUGCCGUAGCUAACGCAUUAAGUGCCCC